rnacentral:misc_RNA from 1 species
GAUGAAGAACGUAGCGAAAUGCGAUAAGUAGUGUGAAUUGCAGAAUUCAGUGAAUCAUCGAAUCUUUGAACGCACAUUGCGCCCCUUGGUAUUCCAUGGGGCAUGCCUGUUCGAGCGUCAUUUGUACCUUCAAGCUUUGCUUGGUGUUGGGUGUUUGUCUCGCCUUUGCGUGUAGACUCGCCUUAAAAUAAUUGGCAGCCGGCGUAUUGAUUUCGGAGCGCAGUACAUCUCGCGCUUUGCACUCAUAACGACAGCGUCCAAAAGUACAUUUUACACUCUUGACCUCGGAUCAGGUAGGGAUACACGCUGAACUUAAGCAUAUCAAUAAGCGGAGGA